AUGAGACAGAUGACAAGAGUAACCGUGCUCCUGACCUUGGGUACUUUGAGUUUUGCUAAGACCUCCCAGCCCGUCUUCAUUGACUCAUACGAAGGACAAGACUUGAACAUAUCCUGUAACCACACCACGAUAGCUACAAAUGACUAUAUCUUCUGGUAUCGACAGUUCCCCAACCAGGGACCACAAUAUAUCAUUCAAGGAUAUAAGACAAACGUGGAAAAUGAAGUGGCAUCUCUGUUCAUUCCUACUGACAGGAAGGUCAGCACCCUGAUGCUGCCCCGGGCUUCCCUGAGAGACAGCGCUGUGUACUAUUGCAUUGUGAGGACGCACACUGCGACAGAUGGGGCUGCACCUGUGCAGUAUCCCCGUGUGGGGUGGGAGUCACAGCCCAGGGGAUCCCCAGUGUAG